rnacentral:tRNA from 1 species
UUUAGGGUGGCAGAUAAUGAUAUGCGUCAGAUUUAAGACCUGGAGAUGGGGGUACCCCCUCCU